CAAGUCGCACGAGAAAGUGGAGCAAUCCAUGAGUACAGUGGCGUACGGGUGAGUAACACGUGGAUCAUCUACCUUCUAGUGGGGAAUACCUCCGGGAAACUGGAGACAAUACCGCAUAAGCUCGUAAGAGGAAAGCAGCAAUGCGCUGGAAGAGGAGUCCGCGGCUGAUUAGCUAGUUGGCGGGGUAACGGCCCACCAAGGCGAAGAUCGGUAGCCGGCCUGAGAGGGCACACGGCCACACUGGCACUGAAACACGGGCCAGACUCCUACGGGAGGCAGCAGUGGGGAAUCUUGCACAAUGGAGGAAACUCUGAUGCAGCGACGCCGCGUGAGCGAUGAAGCCCUUCGGGGUGUAAAGCUCUUUCGACGGGAACGAUAAUGACGGUACCCGAAGAAGAAGCUGCGGCUAACUACGUGCCAGCAGCCGCGGUAAUACGUAGGCAGCAAGCGUUGUUCGGAAUUACUGGGCGUAAAGAGUGUGUAGGCGGUGCUCCAAGUCUGGUGUGAAAUCUCCCGGCUCAACUGGGAGGGUGCAUUAGAAACUGGAAUGCUAGAGGAUGGGAGAGGUAAGCGGAAUUCCUGGUGUAGCGGUGAAAUGCGUAGAUAUCAGGAGGAACACCUGUGGUGUAGACAGCUUACUGGACCAUUUCUGACGCUGAGACACGAAAGCGUGGGUAGCAAACAGGAUUAGAUACCCUGGUAGUCCACGCCCUAAACGAUGCAUACUUGGUGUGAGCGAUUCAUUUCGUUCGUGCCGGAGCUAACGCGUUAAGUAUGCCGCCUGGGGAGUACGGUCGCAAGGCUGAAACUCAAAGGAUUGACGGGGGCCCGCACAAGCGGUGGAGCAUGUGGUUCAAUUC
rnacentral:rRNA from 1 species